AAUUAGUUUUUUUUUUAGAAAUGGUUUGAUUUAUAAACAUAACCAUAAAAAUGAAUUGAUUCAUCGGUAAUCCCUGCACACCUAGAUGUAGGAAAGGGCUUAGGACGUAGAGUGUUAUGCCAAAAACGGUUUCGGCCUCAAACCCAAUGCAAGUAUUCAAACAUCGGAUCCAAUUCAAAAGCCAAGACGCCAAUUCUUAUCUUCACGUUCGCUCAUCUUCACGCUUCAAUCCCAUACACGAAUGAUGAACCUUCUCCAUCAUUUUCACGCUUCAAUCGAUUCGGACUCCUCGUCAUCUUCACCGAUCCGGAGUCAGAGGACUUACCGAAUUGAAGCUCCGAUUGCGAACAUAUAUGAAUCCUUUUCUUUAUUCCGAAUUGCUUUUCUUCUUCUUCUUCUCACAAUCUUCUGCAACUUCUUCUGAUAUACUGUAAUCCGCGUGCGAGAGUUGAUUUUGAGAAUUUGCUUGGUUGAAUAAGCGAAGGUUUCUCUAUGAUUAUGCAGGGUGAACCGAGAGUGAAGAGGGAAGAAUGAAGUUGCAGAAAGUUCUGAGAUUAUGAUUGUUCUCCGAUUGAUGAUGAGUGAUCUGAAUUUAAAGAGCUUUCUCCCUCCGAUUCUAUUAGAAAUCCAGGUUAAAUGUUAAUCAAAUUCGACUCAAAUUACGUUGAAAUGUGGAAUUCUGUUAUUCUAUUAGUGAGGUCAUUGAAUCAGUUGGAUAGUUCUGUUAAUAUCAGUUUUUUUGGUUAUGAAUUAGGUUAACUGUCAACGGAAAUUGAUUAAUGCAGUAGACUGUUAAUUUAAAUGUUAAUCAUUUUGUGAGUCCUACUAUAAUGCUUACUAAAAAGAGGUUAAAAACAUACUGUUAGAAGGGUUAUAUUAGGUUAGUUUGUUAGUUGUUAAUUUAAUUAGUGAGUUUGAAGACGGUUAGCAUUUGGUUAAUUAGUAAAUCAACCUCUGUCCAUAACUUUUCUCUUCUGCAGUGGAUGUAUGUAGGCUUAUUGUGAAGCUUCUACUUAACUUUUGUGAAUGUUUGCAGAUUGUAAUUGCUUCUGGAAUUGUCGAGGAUCAAUGCAUAGGGUGUCACAACAUGAUCAAGACUAUACUGGCAUUGAGAAAUGUAUUCAGUGUUCAUCGGGAAAAAAUUUAGCGCAUCUUCCGCAUGAGCCUGCUCAACUGAGUCAACAUAAUUGCAAUUGGAAUAAAAUAACAAAGCGGUGUUGAUGACCAUGUAGAUGGUUGCUUGUCCUUCCCUUUGGAAAUGACCAAAAACAUGAUAUUAACGUAUAAAAUGCAAUAAACUAGAGUAAAAUGGACAAAAACCUAGGAAAUUAUAAAGUAAAACAAUUACUCCCUCCGUUCCUUUUUAAGUGUUAUUUUUUGAUUUUUUACACAUACCAAGGAAGCUAAUUAUUAUUGUUACUUUUCAAACAAUAAUUUUUCUUUUACCUAUAAUACCCUUAAUUAUUUAUUACAUUCACUUUACUUUUUCUCUCUCUGCAAUCAUUAUCUAGGGGUAAUUUUGACAAAAUUGCAAUUAAUACUACCUUGAACUUUGCAAAUGACAAUUAAAAAGAAACAAAUUUUUUACAAGAAAGUGACACUUAUAAAGGAACGGAGAGAGUAUUAAAAGUGAUACAAAAACCACUUAUCAAACUUCCCAUACUUAAAUGGUUGCUUGUCCUUCCCUUUGGAUUUAUCAAAUUAAGGCAUUUGGAUUUAUUAUGAACAUCACAUGCGCAAGAUCGAUUGAGAAUUUUGUUUAGACAUUAUUUCCUUCUUUUCUUUUACUGCUGAAUUUACACACUUUUGUGUGUUUGUUUGUCCACU
rnacentral:lncRNA from 1 species